GAGGAAACAGAAAGCUGUGACCAGCAGCGUCCUUUACUCCUUGGCCUUAGUGCCUGUUUGCAUUACCAAGGCUGGGCACUGACUCCUGCUGGCACUGCCUCCCAUACAGAGAUCCUAUCUAUAAUUGCUUCAGCCUGUCGUCCAGCCCCAGGCCUCAGGAUGAAUGUCCUGGAGACUUCCAAGUUGCUGGAUGAAGAGCUCUACUCUCGGCAACUGUAUGUGCUGGGCUUGCCGGCCAUGCAGAGGAUUCAGGGAGCCAAGGUCCUGCUGUCAGGUCUUCAGGGCCUGGGGGCUGAGAUAGCCAAAAACCUGGUCCUGAUGGGUGUGGGUAUCCUCACUCUUCAUGAUCCUCACCCUACCUGCUGGUCUGACCUGGCUGCCCAGUUUUUCCUCUCAGAACAGGACUUGGGAAGGAGCAGGGCUGAGGCAUCUCAAGAACUUCUGGCUAAGCUCAAUGGAGCUGUUCAGGUGUGCAUCCACACAGGUGACAUCACUGAGGACCUGCUGCUGGACUUCCAGGUGGUGGUGCUGACUGCCUCGAAGCUGGAGGAGCAGUUGAAGGUGGGCACCUUCUGCCACAAACACGGAGUCUGCUUUCUAGUUGCGGACACUCGAGGCCUCGUGGGGCAGUUAUUCUGUGACUUUGGUGAGGACUUCACUGUCGAGGACCCUACAGAGGCAGAACCCCUGAGAGCUACCAUCCAGCACAUCUCCCAGGGAUCCCCUGGCAUUCUCACCCUGAGAGAAGAGGCUGAUGCCCACCACUUCCACAAUGGGGAUUUGGUGACUUUCUCAGGCAUUGAGGGCAUGGUGGAACUCAAUGGCUGUGCUCCUCGGCCUCUCCACAUGCGGGAGGAUGGGACCUUGGAGAUUGGGAACACAGCAACUUUCUCUCGUUACUUGCGUGGUGGGGCUGUCACUGAGGUCAAGAGACCCAGGACUGUGAAACACGAGCCCCUGGAUGCAGCCCUGCUCCAGCCCCGUGUGGUGGCCCAGAGUCCCCAGGAAGUGCACCGUGCCCACUGCCUGCAUCGGGCCUUCCGUGCACUGCACACAUUCCAGCAGCUCCAUGGCCGCCCUCCUCGGCGGUGGGAUCCUGUUGAUGCAGAGAUGGUGGUGGGACUCGCCCAGGCCCUGGAACCACUGAAGGGGACAGAGGGAGAGUCAUCGGAAGAGCAGCUGGAUGAGGCUCUAGUGCGGACAGUCGCCCUGAGCAGUGCUGGUAGCUUGAGCCCCAUUGCAACCAUGCUGGGUGCGGUGGCUGCCCAGGAAGUGCUGAAGGCGGUCUCCAAGAAGUUCAUGCCCUUGGACCAGUGGCUGUACUUUGAUGCCCUCGAUUGCCUUCCAGAAGAUGAGGAGCCCUUUCUCAAUCCUGAAGACUAUGCACCGAGAGACUGCCGCUAUGACGGGCAAAUUGCCGUGUUUGGGGCUGGUUUUCAGAAGAAACUGAGCCACCAGCACUACCUCCUGGUGGGUGCUGGUGCUAUUGGCUGUGAGCUGCUCAAAGGCUUUGCCCUAGUGGGCCUGGGGGCUGGGGGCAGUGGGGGCGUGACUGUUGCCGACAUGGAUCACGUGGAGCGCUCCAACCUCAGCCGGCAGUUCCUCUUCAGGCCCCAGGACAUUGGUAGGCCAAAGGCAGAGGUGGCUGCUGAGGCUGCUCAUCACCUGAACUCAAACUUGAAGGUGACCCCGCUCACCUACCCACUGGAUCCCACUACAGAGCACAUCUAUGGGGACAACUUCUUCUCCAAUGUGGAUGGCGUGGCUGCCGCCCUGGACAGUUUCCAGGCUCGACACUAUGUGGCUGCUCGCUGCACUCACUAUCUGAAGCCACUACUGGAAGCGGGCACAAAUGGCACCCGGGGCAGUGCUUGUGUGUUCAUGCCGGAUGUGACUGAUGUCUACAGAGGCCCUGCCUCGGAUGCAGAUUCUGAGGAUGCCUCCUACCCUGUCUGCACCGUGCGGUACUUCCCCAGCACAGCCAAGCACACCUUGCAGUGGGCCCGGGAUGAGUUUGAGGGACUUUUCCAUCUGUCUGCUGAGACCAUCAAACGCUACCAACAGGAAGGCCACCCACAAGGGGCACUCAUUUCUCUGGCUGACAUGGAUGGGCCACAGGUACUGACCCUGCUGCAGGUGGUGCUGGGUGUCCUGAGAGAGCGUCCACAGACGUGGCGAGACUGCGUGCUGUGGGCCCUUGGCCACUGGCAACUGUGCUUCCAUUAUGGCAUCAUACAGCUGCUGAGGCUCUUCCCACCUGAUAAAGUGCUUGAGGAUGGAACACCUUUCUGGUCAAGUCCCAGACAGUGUCCCCAGCCCUUGGAGUUUGACGCCAGCCAAGACAUGCACCUCCUCUAUGUGUUGGCAGCUGCCAACCUGUACGCCCAGAUGCAUGGGCUGCCUGGCUCUCGGGACCAGACUGAGCUCAGAGGACUGCUGAAGUUGCUGCCACUUCCUGACCUCCAGGACUUGGCCCCCAUCUUUGCUAGUGACCUGGAGCUGGCUUGGGCUUCUGCUGAGUUGGGCCCUGAGCACUUGAAGAAACUGCAUGAAGCCCUGGAAAUCUGGAGCACAGGCCCUCCCCUGGAACCCUUGAUGUUUGAGAAGGACAAUGACAACAACUUCCAUGUGGAUUUUGUGACAGCAGCAGCUUGCCUGCGAGCUCAGAACUAUGGGAUCCCACCGGCCAACCGCACUAAGAGCAAGCGAAUUGUGGGCCGGAUUAUCCCAGCUGUUGCCACCACUACAGCGGCCGUGGCUGGCCUGGUGGGCCUGGAGCUAUACAAGGUGGUGGGCGGGCCACGGCCCCUCAGUGCCUUUCGCCACAACUAUCUGCACCUGGCUGAAAACUACUUUAGCCGCUGGGUACCUUUUGCCCCAGCCAUCCAAAAGUUCCAACACCUGGAGUGGACCUGUUGGAAACGCCUAGAAGUGCCUGCUGGGGAGCCGGAGAGGACCCUGGAGUCGUUGCUGGCCCAUCUCCAGGAACUGCUGGGGGUGAGGGUGACAAUGCUGCUGCGUGGCCCGGCCGUGCUCUACUCUGCAGGAUGGUCGCUUGAAAAGCAGGCCUGGCACCUGCCCCUCAGGGUGACGGAAGUAAUGCGGCAGGUGACCGGCCAGGCACCUGAGCCUGGACAGCGGGUGCUGGUACUGGAGCUCAGCUGUGAGGGUGAUGAGGAGGACACUACCUUCCCACCCGUGCACUAUAAGCUGUGACAAGGCAGCAGCCUCACCACCCAGCUCUGUCAAGCUCUGCAUCCCAAUCCCUCAGGAGGGGCCCUGGGAGCGCGCGGGUUUCCCGGCUGCGCCCCUAUGCGGGCGGACCACCCCCAGUCGUCGGACCCCGCAGUGCCGUGGCCCACUCGGGGCCGACCCACCAAAUCUGCUCCUGGAGCCAGCCCUGACAGUCCCUAGGAGUCGAUGGGAUGGGUUCCGCGGCCCCUCCGAGGACGACGGGAGCGCGGAACCUCGCGGCAACACCGGGGAGGAGCCUCAGUCAAGGCCCAGUCCCCGCCCUCUCUGCCCGCGUCUGCGGCGAGCUAGGCGGGGCCGCCCUCUAGUGGGCAGCGCGCGAUUAGCUGCGAUUCCUGCCGCGACACCCGCAUCCCCUCUGACGGUACCACAUGCAAACUGGGAGCGCAGGGAUUUAGCGCGGCGCUCUCUCACCGAAAUGGUCAGAGCCUGUUCCCUGAAGCCAUUCCAUAAUCGGAGGCUAGGUUCAAGGACACAGACUAACUGGAGACAGAACUAGACAAGUCACUAGACAGAAAAAUACCGGGGUAUGAGGACGAAGGGCUCGCUUGAGAGAAGAGAUUCUCAGAGAUUGCAUUCUGUAUGGGAUCUGGAUAAGCCAUCAAGGAGAGAUCCAGAAGAGGGGUAUUUUAGGUAGAGGAACCAUCCAGUUAAAAGCCCUGAGAGGACAGGAGCUGGACAGGGCUUAACAGAAAGAAGGCCCAGAUGUCUUAUGAUGGUGGUAGUUAGGGGAGUGAAGAGGUCAGCAAAACCAGGUUCCUGGCAUUCUUAGAAAGGAAUAAGGGGUUUUGUUCUUGGUCUGGUGGGAAGUACUGAAGGCUUUUGAGCAGGGAAUGACCUGGGCUGGCUCCUGUUUAGAUAAUUGCUGCUCUGAGAGAAUUACUCUGUAAUAGAAGUGGAGGCUCCUGCCCUCAUCCAGCAAGGGAGGGGAGGGCCUGGGUCCGGGUAGGUCUGGUGCAAAGAAGGGGGUCACCCCUUCUGGGAUGUGUUUUGGAGUUAAAGUCGUCUUGCUGAUGCAUGAAUAUGGGAAGGGAAAGAGGAGUAUCUAGCAUGACUCCUAGAUUUCUGGUCUGAACAACCGAUUGGCUGAAAUUGCCAUGAUUUGAUCCAAGAAAGACUGGAGAAGAGUGGGUUUGGAGAGCAAAAUCAAAUGAUCAUUUGUGGACACAUGACCCUUAAGAUACUUGUUAGAUAUUAAAGAGGAGAUGCACAGUCA